GACGAACGCUGGCGGCGUGCUUAACACAUGCAAGUCGAACGGAAAGGCCCUGCUUUUGUGGGGUGCUCGAGUGGCGAACGGGUGAGUAACACGUGAGUAACCUGCCCUUGACUUUGGGAUAACUUCAGGAAACUGGGGCUCAUACCGGAUAGGAGCUCCUGCUGCAUGGUGGGGGUUGGAAAGUUUCGGCGGUUGGGGAUGGAAUCGCGGCUUAUCAGCUUGUUGGUGGGGUAGUGGCUUACCAAGGCUUUGACGGGUAGCCGGCCUGAGAGGGUGACCGGCCACAUGGGUACUGAGAUACGGCCCAGACGCCUACGGGAGGCAGCAGGGGGGAAUAUUGCACAAUGGGCGGAAGCCUGAUGCAGCAACGCCGCGUGCGGGAUGACGGCCUUCGGGUUGUAAACCGCUUUCGCCUGUGACGAAGCGUGAGUGACGGUAAUGGGUAAAGAAGCACCGGCUAACUACGUG
rnacentral:rRNA from 1 species